CUUAAAAAUGCACUAACAAACUACUUAUGUUUGAUUUGUUUUGUUUUUAUACAGUUUCAAGUUUCUGUGAAUUUGUUAAUGUCUCCUAAUCCAGAAAAACAAAACAUUUCAUAUUAGAAAUAUCAGCAUGUCGCCAAAGUUUCCCCAAGAUUUCAAGAUGGUAUAAAGCUUUCUCCAAACGUAGUUCUAUUAUUAGAGAGUUAUAAUUUUUUAUUGGAUAUAACUCACUACCUUUUCAUGUGUAGUUUUUAUUGAAUAUUUUGUCAUUUUGUGCUGGGUUGAUAUUCGAGAUCGAUUUUAGAGAAAACAAAUCACUCAAGAAACCAUUUCCACCAGAAUGGACCAUGCUUACUGGACCUCUGUUCCUAUCCUGGCUGAUAUGAGAUGACUGUUGAGAAGAUUAAUUAAGGCAAAGAAGUCUUAGAAGAUUGAGC